UACAGAGGUCCCAAGCGUUGUUCGGAUUCACUGGGCGUAAAGGGUGCGUAGGUGGUCGGGUAAGUCUGAUGUGAAAUCUCCGAGCUUAACUCGGAAAUGGCAUUGGAUACUAUUCGGCUAGAGGGUUUGAGGGGGGACUGGAAUACUUGGUGUAGCAGUGAAAUGCGUAGAUAUCAAGUGGAACACCAGUGGCGAAAGGCGAGUCCCUGGAAAACUCCUGACACUGAG
rnacentral:rRNA from 1 species